AACGAACGCUGGCGGCAGGCUUAACACAUGCAAGUCGAACGCCCCGCAAGGGGAGUGGCAGACGGGUGAGUAACGCGUGGGAACAUACCCUUUCCUGCGGAAUAGCUCUGGGAAACUGGAAUUAAUACCGCAUACGCCCUACGGGGGAAAGAUUUAUCGGGGAAGGAUUGGCCCGCGUUGGAUUAGCUAGUUGGGGGGGUAAAGGCCUACCAAGGCGACGAUCCAUAGCUGGUCUGAGAGGAUGAUCAGCCACAUUGGGACUGAGACACGGCCCAAACUCCUACGGGAGGCAGCAGUGGGGAAUAUUGGACAAUGGGCGCAAGCCUGACCCAGCCACGCCGCGUGAGUGAUGAAGGCCUUAGGGUUGUAAAGCUCUUUCACCGAUGAAGAUAAUGACGGUAGUCGGAGAAGAAGCCCCGGCUAACUUCGUGCCAGCCGCCGCCGUAAAAC
rnacentral:rRNA from 1 species